rnacentral:lncRNA from 7 species
CUCUAAAAAAAAGAGUAUCAGCUGCUGCACAAUGCAUGAACCUCUGCAGAGAGACAGAUGGAAGGUAAGUGCAAUAGCCAAGUAGAGGAAAUGGCAAGGAAAAGUUAUACUGAAGAGUUACAGGCAAGGAAAAUAGCUGAAUGGCUUUGCUGAGACCAGGCUCAACUCACUAGCAGAGCAGUUGAUUGAUAGAGGAGACCUUGUUCAAGAAGAGGUUAAAUGGCUGUUACAAAAGAAAAAAAUAAAAUAAAAGAGAAAUUAAAAAUUAUGCUGCAUAAAAAGAGAGGGUGACAGCAAAUAAGCUGUUGGCUUUUCAAGGGCCAAUAUAAAUAAAACCAGAUCUACUGAAAAAAGACUUUUGCCUUGGUAGCUAUGCCUAUGACCUUGAGUAGAGGAAUGACAAGUAUUUUGUAUAUUAUUUUAUAUAUGCCUGCAAGUUCUCUUAAAGGUACAGCCUUAAGCCAAUAGAUACAAAUAUAUCCUAGAUAGAAAUACUUCUCCUUCUAAGGCGAUACUAUUUUCUUCCAGCCUGAAUUCUGAAAGAGAUCUACUCUUCCAAAGCAAUGUUUAAGCCACUACUAUAAAUGAAUAGCUUGGGCUGUUGUGAAUAAAACGUUUUUCAGAAGCAGUACGUGUUGCAUUUUGAGUAUGAUUCACACAUUCAGCACUCUUGCCUUUUAACAUGCUUUUCAGUAAGGGCUAACUAGAUGGUGUUUUUUAUGCCGAGAUGUCAUCAGUAGAUCACAGUAUGGACAGUGAAUAAAUGAUUGAAAGGGUACAAAACCAAGCAUUGAUGUUCAGUAUUUUCCAGAGACAGGCCUUUGAGUACACUGUCCUUGGGUUAACAUGUAUCUCAUAUCCCCAUAAAAUGGAAAUAUGAAAGAUAGCUAUUCCCACCCUAUCUACAUGGUAUCACCUACUAUAAUGGGAAUAGAUAAGUGAGAUGUGGAUACAUCGGUAUGUAGUUCAAUAAGCACUUUAAACUGGUUUAAACUGAGACCACUGUGAAAAUAAACAGCUUCUCCUUUGACCCUGUCUCUAGCUGACCUGCUAUUCUUGCAAGCUACUUCCUUUGGCCAGUAUGUAGACUUUUGUGACCACUGCUGAACAUGACCAGGGAGGUGUUCUGAGUGAAAAUCAAGCAAGACUGCAGAAUAUCAAUGGAAAAAUCCACAUGGUGAAGGAUCAUCAAUAAGGAUCAAGAGGAGGACAGGGCUGCUUUUUGUGAUACCCUAAAUUGACUCAAGAGGUUCAUGAAUCUGUUGCCUCGUGGCAUCCAGUGAAGGGAGAUGACAGCUGAGUUCCCAAAAAUCUUUCUAUUAAGAAUUCUCAGUAUAAAUCUCUCUGAUAUACUGUAAUACUACUUCAUCUCUGCUGCCAACUGCGCUGGAACGCAUAAAGCCCCUCAUUAGUUCACGCCUCCGCUUACAUGGAUUGCUUUAACAAAGGGAUCUAGUGUGUGCUAAUGACUCUUAGAAUUAAGAUAUUACUGUGGCUAAACAAUAAAUACCUUCUUCUUAUUAAAAUGAUUUGGU